rnacentral:rRNA from 1 species
AUUGAACGCUGGCGGCAGGCUUAACACAUGCAAGUCGAACGAGUGGCGGACGGGUGAGUAAUGCUUGGGAAUCUAGCUUAUGGCGGGGGAUAACUACGGGAAACUGUAGCUAAUACCGCGUACCAUAGGAUGAGCCCUAGUGGGAUUAGGUAGUUGGUGAGGUAAAGGCUCACCAAGCCGACUAUCUCUAGCUGGUCUGAGAGGAUGACCAGCAACACUGGGACUGAACCCCGGCCCAGACUCCUACGGGAGGCAGCAGUGGGGAAUAUUGCGCAAUGGGGGCAACCUGACGCAGCCAGGCCGCGUGAAUGAAGAAGGCCUUGGGGUUGUAAAGUUCUUUCGGUAGCGAGGCGUUAACUACAGAAGAAGCACCGGCUAACUCCGUGCCAGCCGCCGCGGUAAUAC